AUUGAUUGAUUUAUAUUGAUUGAUCUACUGUCUAUUACAAAUGGUUCCUUAUAUAGAUGUAGGUGUAGUGGAUGGUGGUGGUAGGUGAGUGUAGUAGGUGAGUGUGUGGUAGGUGAUGGUAAAUUAUACAAUGUACAUUAACACCUUUUGUAUUGGUCCUUGUCAAACUAUGGAGACUGUCUAGGUUAAUGUGUAUACAUGCUGACUUCUUCUAUUGCAGACUUUGACUGAAGGAUUUGCCAUGAUUGGUUGCAUGGGAAAGGGAAGUUCUUAUACUCCAUCAAAACUGCCAUCCAAACCUCUUGAAUUAUGGGCAUAUGAGCCGUCCCCAUAUUGCAAAAUUGUACGUGAAGUACUUGUAGAGUUAGAGCUGCCACAUUUACUUCAUAGUUGUGCUCGUGGCAGCCCAAAAUGACAGAUGCUAUAUGAGAAAGUUGGACAUUUCCAGGCACCUUCUUUAGAGGACCCAAACGCAGGAGUGCAAAUGUUUGAGAGCGCAGAGAUCAUUGAUUAUUUAAGAGCAACUUACGCUCUUUAAAGAGGUUUUUGCUUCCUAUGCUGUUGUAUAUGUUUGUAUCAUCUAAACAUUUUCUUGUGAACCUAUUUAUGUGGAUUAUUUUGUUAUUUAAAAAAAAAAAAAAAUCAUUAAUAAGAUGCAUUAUAUAUGUUUUUCA